rnacentral:rRNA from 1 species
UACGAAGGGGGCUAGCGUUGCUCGGAAUCACUGGGCGUAAAGGGUGCGUAGGCGGGUCUUUAAGUCAGGGGUGAAAUCCUGGAGCUCAACUCCAGAACUGCCUUUGAUACUGAGGAUCUUGAGUACGGGAGAGGUGAGUGGAACUGUGAGUGUAGAGGUGAAAUUCGUAGAUAUUCGCAAGAACACCAGUGGCGAAGGCGGCUCACUGGCCCGUAACUGACGCUGAGGCACGAAAGCGUGGGGAGCAAACAGG